rnacentral:misc_RNA from 1 species
GAACGGUCGGCAGGCGAUCCGCGUCGGUCGUGCGGGGUGGUAUGGUUCCCCCAUAGGCCGGUUCUUGUGCUGCCUACCCCUUCAAGGGAAGCGGACCACUUGACGUAAGCCUCCAUCCGGCGCCUUCCAGUGGGCGCAGGAGGACAACAGAGCACCCCCCGCGUUCCACCGAGCCUUCUCGGUCGCGUGGCCCGCGGGGACGUGCGAUGCUCUCGGACCCAGCGAACGCCGUGGGCGAGGACUCACGUCCCAGUCCCGAAAAGAAGCUCCGAUAUAUUGCAUGACGGCCGCUCCCGCCCCCCGACCGCCCCGGCGGCGCGGGGGCGAGGCGCGGCGUCGCAGAGGAAUGCUACCUGGUUGAUCCUGC